CUGGGUGACGAGCGGCGGACGGGUGAGUAAUGUCUGGGAAACUGCCUGAUGGAGGGGGAUAACUACUGGAAACGGUAGCUAAUACCGCAUAACGUCGCAAGACCAAAGAGGGGGACCUUCGGGCCUCUUGCCAUCAGAUGUGCCCAGAUGGGAUUAGCUAGUAGGUGGGGUAAUGGCUCACCUAGGCGACGAUCCCUAGCUGGUCUGAGAGGAUGACCAGCCACACUGGAACUGAGACACGGUCCAGACUCCUACGGGAGGCAGCAGUGGGGAAUAUUGCACAAUGGGCGCAAGCCUGAUGCAGCCAUGCCGCGUGUGUGAAGAAGGCCUUCGGGUUGUAAAGCACUUUCAGCGAGGAGGAAGGUGGUGAGCUUAAUACG
rnacentral:rRNA from 1 species